rnacentral:rRNA from 1 species
UUAAGCGACUAAGCGUACACGGUGGAUGCCCUGGCAGUCAGAGGCGAUGAAGGACGUGCUAAUCUGCGAUAAGCGUCGGUAAGGUGAUAUGAACCGUUAUAACCGGCGAUUUCCGAAUGGGGAAACCCAGUGUGUUUCGACACACUAUCAUUAACUGAAUCCAUAGGUUAAUGAGGCGAACCGGGGGAACUGAAACAUCUAAGUACCCCGAGGAAAAGAAAUCAACCGAGAUUCCCCCAGUAGCGGCGAGCGAACGGGGAGGAGCCCAGAGCCUGAAUCAGUGUGUGUGUUAGUGGAAGCGUCUGGAAAGGCGCGCGAUACAGGGUGACAGCCCCGUACACAAAAAUGCACAUACUGUGAGCUCGAUGAGUAGGGCGGGACACGUGGUAUCCUGUCUGAAUAUGGGGGGACCAUCCUCCAAGGCUAAAUACUCCUGACUGACCGAUAGUGAACCAGUACCGUGAGGGAAAGGCGAAAAGAACCCCGGCGAGGGGAGUGAAAAAGAACCUGAAACCGUGUACGUACAAGCAGUGGGAGCCUCUUAAUGGGGUGACUGCGUACCUUUUGUAUAAUGGGUCAGCGACUUAUAUUCUGUAGCAAGGUUAACCGAAUAGGGGAGCCGAAGGGAAACCGAGUCUUAACUGGGCGUUAAGUUGCAGGGUAUAGACCCGAAACCCGGUGAUCUAGCCAUGGGCAGGUUGAAGGUUGGGUAACACUAACUGGAGGACCGAACCGACUAAUGUUGAAAAAUUAGCGGAUGACUUGUGGCUGGGGGUGAAAGGCCAAUCAAACCGGGAGAUAGCUGGUUCUCCCCGAAAGCUAUUUAGGUAGCGCCUCGUGAAUUCAUCUCCGGGGGUAGAGCACUGUUUCGGCAAGGGGGUCAUCCCGACUUACCAACCCGAUGCAAACUGCGAAUACCGGAGAAUGUUAUCACGGGAGACACACGGCGGGUGCUAACGUCCGUCGUGAAGAGGGAAACAACCCAGACCGCCAGCUAAGGUCCCAAAGUCAUGGUUAAGUGGGAAACGAUGUGGGAAGGCCCAGACAGCCAGGAUGUUGGCUUAGAAGCAGCCAUCAUUUAAAGAAAGCGUAAUAGCUCACUGGUCGAGUCGGCCUGCGCGGAAGAUGUAACGGGGCUAAACCAUGCACCGAAGCUGCGGCAGCGACACUAUGUGUUGUUGGGUAGGGGAGCGUUCUGUAAGCCUGUGAAGGUGGCCUGUGAGGGUUGCUGGAGGUAUCAGAAGUGCGAAUGCUGACAUAAGUAACGAUAAAGCGGGUGAAAAGCCCGCUCGCCGGAAGACCAAGGGUUCCUGUCCAACGUUAAUCGGGGCAGGGUGAGUCGACCCCUAAGGCGAGGCCGAAAGGCGUAGUCGAUGGGAAACAGGUUAAUAUUCCUGUACUUGGUGUUACUGCGAAGGGGGGACGGAGAAGGCUAUGUUGGCCGGGCGACGGUUGUCCCGGUUUAAGCGUGUAGGCUGGUUUUCCAGGCAAAUCCGGAAAAUCAAGGCUGAGGCGUGAUGACGAGGCACUACGGUGCUGAAGCGACAAAUGCCCUGCUUCCAGGAAAAGCCUCUAAGCAUCAGGUAACAUCAAAUCGUACCCCAAACCGACACAGGUGGUCAGGUAGAGAAUACCAAGGCGCUUGAGAGAACUCGGGUGAAGGAACUAGGCAAAAUGGUGCCGUAACUUCGGGAGAAGGCACGCUGAUAUGUAGGUGAAGCGACUUGCUCGUGGAGCUGAAAUCAGUCGAAGAUACCAGCUGGCUGCAACUGUUUAUUAAAAACACAGCACUGUGCAAACACGAAAGUGGACGUAUACGGUGUGACGCCUGCCCGGUGCCGGAAGGUUAAUUGAUGGGGUUAGCGGUAACGCGAAGCUCUUGAUCGAAGCCCCGGUAAACGGCGGCCGUAACUAUAACGGUCCUAAGGUAGCGAAAUUCCUUGUCGGGUAAGUUCCGACCUGCACGAAUGGCGUAAUGAUGGCCAGGCUGUCUCCACCCGAGACUCAGUGAAAUUGAACUCGCUGUGAAGAUGCAGUGUACCCGCGGCAAGACGGAAAGACCCCGUGAACCUUUACUAUAGCUUGACACUGAACAUUGAGCCUUGAUGUGUAGGAUAGGUGGGAGGCUUUGAAGUGUGGACGCCAGUCUGCAUGGAGCCGACCUUGAAAUACCACCCUUUAAUGUUUGAUGUUCUAACGUGGGCCCCUUACCGGGGUUGCGGACAGUGUCUGGUGGGUAGUUUGACUGGGGCGGUCUCCUCCUAAAGAGUAACGGAGGAGCACGAAGGUUGGCUAAUCCUGGUCGGACAUCAGGAGGUUAGUGCAAUGGCAUAAGCCAGCUUGACUGCGAGCGUGACGGCGCGAGCAGGUGCGAAAGCAGGUCAUAGUGAUCCGGUGGUUCUGAAUGGAAGGGCCAUCGCUCAACGGAUAAAAGGUACUCCGGGGAUAACAGGCUGAUACCGCCCAAGAGUUCAUAUCGACGGCGGUGUUUGGCACCUCGAUGUCGGCUCAUCACAUCCUGGGGCUGAAGUAGGUCCCAAGGGUAUGGCUGUUCGCCAUUUAAAGUGGUACGCGAGCUGGGUUUAGAACGUCGUGAGACAGUUCGGUCCCUAUCUGCCGUGGGCGCUGGAGAACUGAGGGGGGCUGCUCCUAGUACGAGAGGACCGGAGUGGACGCAUCACUGGUGUUCGGGUUGUCAUGCCAAUGGCACUGCCCGGUAGCUAAAUGCGGAAGAGAUAAGUGCUGAAAGCAUCUAAGCACGAAACUUGCCCCGAGAUGAGUUCUCCCUGAGACUUUGAGACUCCUGAAGGAACGUUGAAGACGACGACGUUGAUAGGCCGGGUGUGUAAGCGCAGCGAUGCGUUGAGCUAACCGGUACUAAUGAACCGUGAGGCUUAACCUU